UUGAUCCUGGCUCAGGACGAACGCUGGCGGCGUGCUUAACACAUGCAAGUCGAGCGGUAAGGCCCUUCGGGGUACACGAGCGGCGAACGGGUGAGUAACACGUGGGUGAUCUGCCCUGUACUUCGGGAUAAGCCUGGGAAACUGGGUCUAAUACCGGAUAUGACCUUACAUCGCAUGGUGUUUGGUGGAAAGAUUUAUCGGUACAGGAUGGGCCCGCGGCCUAUCAGCUUGUUGGUGGGGUAAUGGCCUACCAAGGCGACGACGGGUAGCCGGCCUGAGAGGGCGACCGGCCACACUGGGACUGAGACACGGCCCAGACUCCUACGGGAGGCAGCAGUGGGGAAUAUUGCACAAUGGGCGAAAGCCUGAUGCAGCGACGCCGCGUGAGGGAUGACGGCCUUCGGGUUGUAAACCUCUUUCGACAGGGACGAAGCGCAAGUGACGGUACCUGUAGAAGAAGCACCGGCCAACUACGUGCCAGCAGC
rnacentral:rRNA from 1 species